rnacentral:lncRNA from 1 species
AUUUGUUGUUCAUAGUUUCCAAACUACGGGAAUUAACUUUCGAUAAAGAAAAUAAUUACUUCCUAUUUUCGACACCAGGAGAGAAAAUGCCAUUUUUCGCACAAUUAAGAAAAUAUAAUAAAGAAAACUAAAUAUCACAAUAAUAAUUUUUAUUCCGGCCGGAUGGUCGAGUGGAACCGCAUUUGUGUGCCACGAUUGAGGAUCCGCGUUCACGUCCCGGGUCCGGAAUAUCUUGAAAAGUUUUUUCAUAGUUAUGGACCCAUCUCCGCGUUCUCUGUGCUUUACCAUCUUGUCCCUCGCGGCUGUGGCGGAAGCCUGUGUUUGGAACUGGCUUCGCUCCUUAGUAAUUUCACAGAUAGGAAAGGAGCGUAAAAACCAAAAAAAAAAAAAAAUCGUUGUUAUUCUGACUCAAUUACAAAUACGGUUCAAUAUGAUGCCCUUGCACAUUUUCCAAUAACGGUA